rnacentral:rRNA from 1 species
AUUGAACGCUGGCGGCAGGCUUAACACAUGCAAGUCGAACGAGCGGCGGACGGGUGAGUAAUGUAUGGGGAUCUGCCCGAUGGAGGGGGAUAACUACUGGAAACGGUAGCUAAUACCGCAUACCAUCAGAUGUGCCCAUAUGGGAUUAGCUUGUAGGUGGGGUAACGGCUCACCUAGGCGACGAUCCCUAGCUGGUCUGAGAGGAUGACCAGCCAGACUGGGACUGAGACACGGCCCAGACUCCUACGGGAGGCAGCAGUGGGGAAUAUUGCACAAUGGGCGCAAGCCUGAUGCAGCCAUGCCGCGUGUAUGAAGAAGGACUUCGGGUUGUAAAGUACUUUCAGUCGGGAGGCGUUACCCGCAGAAGAAGCACCGGCUAACUCCGUGCCAGCAGCCGCGGUAAUAC